UAGGGAAUCUUCGGCAAUGGACGAAAGUCUGACCGAGCAACGCCGCGUGAGUGAAGAAGGUUUUCGGAUCGUAAAACUCUGUUGUUAGAGAAGAACAAGGACGUUAGUAACUGAACGUCCCCUGACGGUAUCUAACCAGAAAGCCACGGCUAACUACGUGCCAGCAGCCGCGGUAAUACGUAGGUGGCAAGCGUUGUCCGGAUUUAUUGGGCGUAAAGCGAGCGCAGGCGGUUUCUUAAGUCUGAUGUGAAAGCCCCCGGCUCAACCGGGGAGGGUCAUUGGAAACUGGGAGACUGGAGUGCAGAAGAGGAGAGUGGAAUUCCAUGUGUAGCGGUGAAAUGCGUAGAUAUAUGUAGGAACACCAGUGGCGAAGGCGGCUCUCUGGUCUGUAACUGACGCUGAGGCUCGAAAGCGUGGGGAGCAAACAGG
rnacentral:rRNA from 1 species